rnacentral:rRNA from 1 species
GAUGAACGCUGGCGGCGUGCUUAACACAUGCAAGUCGAACGGAAAGGCCCAAGCUUGCUUGGGUACUCGAGUGGCGAACGGGUGAGUAACACGUGGGUGAUCUGCCCUGCACUUCGGGAUAAGCCUGGGAAACUGGGUCUAAUACCGGAUAGGACGAUGGUUUGGAUGCCAUUGUGGAAAGUUUUUUCGGUGUGGGAUGAGCUCGCGGCCUAUCAGCUUGUUGGUGGGGUAAUGGCCUACCAAGGCGUCGACGGGUAGCCGGCCUGAGAGGGUGUACGGCCACAUUGGGACUGAGAUACGGCCCAGACUCCUACGGGAGGCAGCAGUAGGGAAUAUUGCACAAUGGGCGCAAGCCUGAUGCAGCGACGCCGCGUGGGGGAUGACGGCCUUCGGGUUGUAAACUCCUUUCGCUAGGGACGAAGCGUUUUUGUGACGGUACCUGGAGAAGAAGCACCGGCUAACUACGUG